rnacentral:rRNA from 1 species
GACGAACGCUGGCGGCGUGCCUAAUACAUGCAAGUCGAACGCAGUGGGGACGGGUGCGUAACACGUGGGUAACCUCCCAUCAGAGGGGAUAACACUUGGAAACAGGUGCUAAACCGCUACUGAUGUAUUGACCCGCUGGGCAGUAGCUAGUUGGUGAGGUAACGGCUAACCAAGGCCACGAGGCAUAGCCGAACGGAGAGGGUGAUCGGCCACACGGGGACUGAGACACGGCCCAGACUCCUACGGGAGGCAGCAGUGGGGAAUAUUUGGCAAUGGACGAAAGUCUGACCGAGCAACGCCGCGUGAGUGAAGAAGGUUUUCGGAUCGUAAAAUGCUGUGGUUAGAGAAGCGGUAUCUAACCAGAAAGCCACGGCUAACUACGUGCCAGCAGCCGCGGUAAUAC